UACGUAGGGUGCGAGCGUUGUCCGGAAUCAUUGGGCGUAAAGCGCGUGUAGGCGGUCCGGUAAGUCCGCUGUGAAAGUCGGGGGCUCAACCCUCGGAUGCCGGUGGAUACUGUCGGGCUUGAGUACGGAAGAGGCGAGUGGAAUUCCUGGUGUAGCGGUGAAAUGCAUUGAGAUCGGAAAGAACACCAACGGCGAAAGCACUCUGCUGGGCCGACACUGACACUGAGAGACGAAAGCUAGGGGAGCAAAUGGG
rnacentral:rRNA from 1 species